CUCCUCUCUCCAGCAUCUGAUUUCAUAGCAGGGAGAGCUAACAUUCCUAAGGACACAGGCAGUGGGAGCCAUGGGAUUUCUGCAAAAUCCUCACUAAUGUUGAAGGAAGAGACUAUCUUGGGAACACAGCCCCAUUUCUUGUCUUUGCUCAUAUCCAGAGACAACCGUGGUAAAACCUGCAGCCACACGUGCCCACAAAGAGCACGUUCUGUCUGACAUUUCAAGCCUUGCGUGAGGAUCCCAAACCAGCUUGUGUUUCAGCUGGGAGUGGAGCAGAACAGUACCAGAGCUGCUUAGCCAUGAACCAGGGAAACGUCAGCGCUAAACUCUACUUCAGAAUGGUCUAGGAUUCAGCAGAGCCGGCAGUGACAUUGGUGAAGCUGAUGGCUGAGGCCAACUGUGCACAUCUUAGAGGAAAUUUCAGCAGAAAUGAAUGGUGGUGAUGAAAGGUUAAUGGCAAGCAUUGGCACCACAGCCAUUUCCAGAAUACUCCAUCUCUCCCUCAAGCUCAGAAGUAUGCUUGUUGCAAAUUUGGCCAGGUGAUCAUGGGCACAUGGUAAGCAAAAUGAAGAAGUCUGAGUGGGACGGUUGUGAGAGAAUCUGUUCUUUUCUAGCAUGAAUAAAAUGCAAGCAACUCCUGGACUUGCCUGGAGCUUGCUUUGUCCGCUCUCUAGCUGUAAACAGUAAUUAAAACCUUGAGCUGUCGAAUCUGUUUUGUGACACUGUGGCUCGCUGUUUUGCAUCAAGUUUUAGUAUGAAAAGUCUCCUUGCUCUGUCUGCUCCUGGGCAACAGGCAGCACUUUUUCAUCUCUCUGAGGAUUUGGGAGGAGGACUUGUUGGAGGCAGCAAUGCCAUCUUGCUGCUUCUUCAUGACAUUUAAAGGCUUGAAGCAGAAAACCUGAGAUGAUACGAAAAAAGCAAAAGAAACAGGCACCUGUGAAAGAUUCCAUAAGCAUCUCGUACUCUAUCAAAGUAUUACUGAACUCAAGAUCUUUCAGAGUAAUUUGAAAAGAUCUUCAUUCAAACAGAAAACAUUCUAUCUAAGUGCAUUCCAAAGACAGAGUGCGGAGCCUUACUGAGAGCCAGAUUGAGAGAAAUACAAAAACUAAAAACUACCUUUGUGGAAUCAAAAAGGGUAUUUGAGGACCUGCAACAUAAUGCACUGGAACAUAAAAUUCUUCACCCAAUGGGAAGUGAGUGCUGUAUGUCUUCUAUGAAGUUGAAUAAACUUCUGCUCGUUUCAAUUAUGUUGCUGAAUCAAAAGACCAACUCCUAGGAACUGCUCACGAUCAGUUUAGCGCAGUGUUAUUGUUGUCAUUUAAUCUCACAGACCUGAAGAAGGAUUCAUAGUAGGAUGAAGACGGGGCUUCUCGAUGGUUGCUUUCACACCAGCUGACCACCUGCCUCCUUAAAUCUGGAAUUAAUGCAUGCACAGCAAGCAUAAGAAUAAACAAUGUAAGAUUUUACAUAAUUUCAUGCUUUCUAUGAAUUGUUUGAUGAUUUCAAAAUGACUGUUGUUGCAAGUAAGUUAUGGCUUGUGCUAUUCAAUUUAUAAAUGAUCUAAAAUAAAUUUCAUACAGUGACAGUUUUCUGAUGAUAUUAUUUACUUUAAAGAAAUCAAAAGUCAGCUAUAAAGAGAUGCAGAAGUAUCUCAUAGUACUGAAAUACUAUACAAAUUAAUAAGUCUAUAUAAAAUAAUAUACAUGGGACAAAAUCCUAACUUAGUGUGUAUCAUGAAUUGAUGGUUUGGGGUUCUUGGGAUUUGGGAUUUUGAUGAAUGGUUCUAUGAAAAUGUGGAGUUAACAUAUGAAUUCCUUAGAAGAAAAAAAAAAAAAAAGGAAUAUUAGGGAUUCUGAAGAAAGCAGUAGAAAACAAGGAGACAACUAUCAUCAUUUUGUCACCACUUAAUGGUGAUGAAUCUCUGAGGCACGUAUGCCUUGACCAUCCAGUGCAUUUAUGAUCACUUCACCUCAAAAAACAUAAUACAGCUGCAAAAGUCUCAGACAAGGGCAACAAAGGACAAGUGAACUUCUGGAAUGGCUUCUGAGCCGUGCAGGAACACUGAGCAGAUUACAGAGACAGCUUAGAGGGUAUACAACAG
rnacentral:lncRNA from 1 species